ensembl:lncRNA
GGAGAGAGGAAACAAGAGAAAGAAAGACAGAUUGUAGAGAAGUCUGGUCUACUGAACAGGAUCAACGCUCACAGCUCAGACUGAAAGUUAACUAAAAAAAAAACAGAAGACAAGAACUGUCUGAUAUCUGCUCCCUUGUCUCGGGAAGAAACUGCUGGGAAGGAGGGGAGGAAGAAACAGAGGAAAUGUGUGAUAGCUUCCGCACAUCCUCCCAAGACAGUACUUCCACUAGGAAAAAGUAGAAGAAAAAUGCACGUGUAUUGCCUGUUCAGAUGAUCCACUGGUGAGCAAGUGAUGUAAUGCUAAAUUUCUCCAAAUCUGUUCAGAUGAAGAAACAAACUCAGAUACAUCUUGGAGUGAGUAAGUGUGAGUACUUGUUUUUAACAUAAUUUACUUAUUUUAGAUUUCCC